rnacentral:hammerhead_ribozyme from 1 species
GCACUGCUGAGGAGUCCUACAUAGGAUGAAACGGCCGUCAAGUGC